AAUUUUCCGCAAUGGGCGAAAGCCUGACGGAGCAACGCCGCGUGAGGGAAGAAGGUCUUCGGAUCGUAAACCUCUGUCUUCAGGGACGAUGAUGACGGUACCUGAGGAGGAAGCCACGGCUAACUACGUGCCAGCAGCCGCGGUAAUACGUAGGUGGCGAGCGUUGUCCGGAAUUACUGGGCGUAAAGGGCGUGUAGGCGGCCAUUUAAGUCAGAUGUGAAAUACCAUGGCUUAACCAUGGGACUGCAUUUGAGACUGGAUGGCUUGAGGAUCGGAGAGGGCAGUGGAAUUCCCAGUGUAGCGGUGAAAUGCGUAGAUAUUGGGAGGAACACCAGUGGCGAAGGCGACUGCCUGGACGACACCUGACGCUGAGGCGCGAAAGCUAGGGGAGCAAACGGG
rnacentral:rRNA from 1 species